GGGCAUGGCUGUCAGAGCAGGGUUCCCAGCGUAGAGGACUGGGAAGCACAGGGAAUGUUCAUUCAGUCUGUGCGAAUACCAGCGACACAGAGGGGCUGCUGGGAUCCAAGUACUGGAUUUGGGUUGAGAACCAAGGUUUAAGUCUUGGCUCUGCUGUCUACUAGAAGAGGAAGCUGAAGGUGGGAGUGACAUGGAAUCUGGGCAGAGUGUUUGGUGAACUGAGAGAGGAACGCAGAACCCUUGACCCCAAACUCAAGCCCUGACAGAAACCACAACAGCACAAAAUGCAAAU